AUACGUAGGUGGCAAGCGUUGUCCGGAUUUAUUGGGCGUAAAGGAUGCGUAGGUGGAUAUUUAAGUCAGAUGUGAAAACCCCGAGCUUAACUUGGGGACUGCAUUUGAAACUGGGUAUCUAGAGUGCAGGAGAGGAAAGCAGAAUUCCUAGUGGAGUGGUGAAAUGCGUAGAGAUUAGGAAGAAUACCAGUGGCGAAGGCGGCUUUCUGGACUGUAACUGACACUGAGGCAUGAAAGCGUGGGGAGCAAACAGGAUUAGAUACCCUGGUAGUCCACGCUGUAAAUGAUGAGUAUUAGGUAUAGGAGGUAUCGACCCCUUCUGUGCCGUUAAGUUAACACGUUAAAUACUCCGCCUGGGGACUACGAUCGCAAGAUUAAA
rnacentral:rRNA from 1 species